rnacentral:misc_RNA from 1 species
GCAAACUUGGUCAUUUAGAGGAAGUAAAAGUCGUAACAAGGUUUCCGUAGGUGAACCUGCGGAAGGAUCAUUAAAGAACUGUGAGCACUUGGUUGUCGCUGGCUCUCUAGGGAGCAUGUGCACGCCGGGUUCAAACUUUCAACUCUUUUUAUUCUCCUGUGCACUUUUGUGGAUCGAGACUUGGGGUAACUUUUCUCAAAGUAACAUUUGGUUUUGGAAUUUGCCGGUUGAAAGGCUUGCUCUUUCCUACAUCCUGUCUCGGUUCAUGUCUUUUUUUUUACACCCUAUUUAAUACAAUCUAGAAUGCUUUUACGAGUUUGGGACUUGAGUGACCCAUCUCAAAUUAUUAUACAACUUUCAACAACGGAUCUCUUGGCUCUCGCAUCGAUGAAGAACGCAGC